rnacentral:rRNA from 1 species
UCAGAUUGAACGCUGGCGGAUGCUUUGGUAUGCAAGUCGAACGGCAGCACGGACUUUCGGUCUGGUGGCGAGAAAGUGGCGAACGGGUGAGUAAUGUAUCGGAACGUGCCUAGUAGCGUGGGGGAUAACCACGCGAAAGCGUAGCUAAUACCGCAUACGCCCUUCGGGGGAAAGCGGGGGUCUUCUGGCCUGCACUAUUAGAGCGGCUGAUAUCGGAUUAGCCAGUUGGUGGGGUGCAACGGCUCACCAAGGCGACGAUCCGUAGCUGGUUUGAGAGGACGACCAGCCACACUGGGAUCGAUACACGGCCCAGACUCCUACGGGAGGCAGCAGUGGGGAAUUUUGACAAUGGGGGAAAACCCCGAUCCAGCCAUCCCGCGUGCGAUGAAGGCCUUCGGGUCAAAGCACCUUUGGCGCAGGAAAGAAACGGCACGUGAUAAUACCCCGUGCAACUGACGGUACCUGCAGAAUAAGCACUGACUAACUACGCCAGCAGCCGCGGUAAUACGUAGGGUGCAAGGUUAAUCGGAAUUACUGGGCGUAAAGCGUGCAGGCGGUUCGGAAAGAAAGAUGUGAAAUCCCAGAGCUUAACUUUGGAACUGCAUUUAACUACCGAGCUAGAGUGUCAGAGGGAGGUGAAUUCCAUGUAAAGAAAGAAAUGCGUAGAUAGUGGAGGAACACCGGAUGGCGAAGGCAGCCUCCUGGGAUAACACUGACGCUCAUGCACGAAAGCGUGGGGAGCAAACAGGACUAGAUACCCUGGUAGUCCACGCCCUAAACGACGUCAACUAGCUGUUGGGGCCUGGCCCGGUAGCGCAGCUAACGCGCGAAGUUGACCGCCUGGGGAGUACGGUCGUAAGAUUAAAACUCAAAGGAAUUGACGGGGACCUCGCACAAGCGGUGGAUGAUGUGGAUUAAUUCGAUGCAACGCGAAAACCUUACCUACCCUUGACAUGUUCAAAUCCCGAAGAGAUUUGGGAGUGCUCGUAAGAGAACCGGAACACAGGUGCUGCAUGGCUGUCGUCAGCUCGUGUCGGGAGAUGUUACAAGUUCCGCAACGAGCGCAACCCUUUGUCAUUAUUGCUACGAAAGGGCACUCUAAUGAGACUGCCGGUGACAAAACCGAAAGGAAGGUGGGGAUGACGUCAAGUCCUUAUGGCCCUUACAGCAGGGCUUCACACGUCAUACAAUGGUCGGGACAGAGGGUCGCCAACCCGCGAGGGGGAGCCAAUCCCAGAAACCCGAUCGUAGUCCGAUCGCAGUCUGCAACUCGACUGGUGAAGUCGGAAUCGCUAGUAAUCGAUCAGCAUGUCGCGGUGAAUACGUUCCCGGGUCUUGUACACACCGCCCGUCACACCAUGGGAGUGGGUUUACCAGAAGUAGUUAGCCUAACCGUAAGGAGGGCGAUUACCACGGUAGGAUUCAUGACUGGGGUGAAGUCGUAACAAGGUAAUC